AUGGGAGGACCCGCGGCCACCAGGGGAGACGGCGCUGGACGCGGACGAGGGUCCUCGCACACCGCGGCCAGUCCGGAGCCGCGCCGCUGGGCGCCCGCUGCCACCUCGUGGCCGAUGGCGGGACAGCACCCCAGCCUCGCCACCGUCGCCCAGGACUUCCGGUUCCGGGACAGGGACAGGAGGUGGGGCGCAGGGAGGGAAUCGAGCGUGAAACUGCGUUAUGCGCACGCGCCAGCGCCCGCGAUGAAGGUCCCCUGCUCCCGCCCCGCCUCGCCCUCGAUGGAAUAUGACAGCGAGACAGAUGCAGUCCUGACGUGCACGGCCGCUGGCCACCCUGGGAAGUGUCCAAGAGGCCAGUGCCCGACCGCAUGCCCCACGCUGCACCUGGCCACGCUCACACUCUGCCUGGCAAGCAGCGCCCUGUGUGGCUUCGUUUACAUGAAACACCGAAACAGGCCAAGCCGUAGCAGCGAAGUGGCCUCCAGGCUGCCCGGGGCAGGGCGGGUGGGGAGCCCUGGGAGACAGUGAUUGCUAGCGGCUGUGUUCUAGGGGCUGGUAUUUGUGUGUUGUGUGUGCUGUAUGUUGUUUUCAUUUUGUUGUGUGUGUGUGUCCAUGCAUGUGCACUGGCAUUUUUUGUGUGGUUUUGUUUUUUUAUGGAGUGAUGAAAACGUCCUGAAAUUAUUAUAGGUACAGUUGCGUCCAUCUGAGUAUACUAAAAUCAUCAAAUUGUGCAGCUUAAAUAGUGAAUUGUCGCUGGGCAUGGUGGUACAUGACUGUCAUCCCAGCACUUGGGAGGCUGAGGCAGGAAGAUCGCCAGGAGUUUGAGGUCAGUCUGGACUGCAUAGUGAGUUCCAGGGCAACCUGGACAGCAAGACCCUGUCUCAAAGCGAACAAAAAUGGGUGAUUUGUAUGGUAUAUGAGCUGUGGCUUAACAAAAUUGUUCUUUGUUUUUUUAAGUCAAGGGGAAAAAAUCCAGUCAAAAGGAAUAAAAGAGUCCAGGACAAAAAGAGAAGGGGUGAUCGGCUCUGCAGGGCAGGGAUCCCAGGGGUGUGCUGGCCUUGGAGGACGCCUGAGGGUGGAGGGGGUUGGGAGAUCGGACCGGUGUGCAGGUGACACAUGGGCCCUGCAGCUGUCCCACACUCCUGCCACCCCAUCUCUCACCUCUGCCACCUCGGCCCUGCCCUCCCCAGGUGCAGCUUGGUGUCCAGGCCUGGCUCAGCCACUCCCCUUGGGGGGCUGGCGAUGUGACUGCACGAAGGAAUUCACUGUGGGUCCCUGGGGAGGGGUCGUACCGCCCCACGCACGCCUGCCACCUGCCAGCGUGAUUUGCUCCAGCGGGAAAUGAACGCAGAGGCCCGGAGGGAGCCGGCCCGCAGCGUCCGGGUUCAUUUCCCCCUGGUACGGGAGCAGAGCUGCCCCAGGUACAGGCCAGGCCCACAUCCCUGCGGCCGGGACCCACGGGGCUGAGGAGAGAUGGAUCUGGGACUUUAAGCCCGGGGGACUCGGGGGUAAGAGCGUCCCAUGACGUGACUUCACAUAACUCACGUCAGCCUCGUUCCCAGGGCCGCAUGCAGCCCAAAUGUGCCAACCGGGGGACCCGAGCGGCCGCCUCUGCAGCCUCCCCGGCCGGGCUGGGCGCAGGCUGCGCCUGCUGAGCCCGCAGCGGGACUCGGUUUACUCCCGGGCGCGUCCAACCCGCCCUGCACCGGGCCUCGUCCCCAGCGCCUGCACCCGACCGCUCGUCCCGGUCUCCCACGCUCCCCCGCUCCUCCUCCCCGCGUGUGUGCGGGUGGUGCUGGUGGUUGGGAUUGUUACACGUUCUCACCGUUGUCCAGGCCGACUUCAGUCAAACCCUGUGUAGCUUGAAUUGCCGGCCUUGAACUCUCCAUCUUCCUGCCUCAGCCUUCACUAAAUCCCAAGCCCGCCCGCCCUCCCUCCCUCCCUUUCUCUUUCUUUCUUUCUUUCUUUGAGACAGAGACAAGAUCCCACUCAUUUACCAGAUUGCCUAGGAUGGGCUUGAACUUUGGAUCCCCGCACCCCGCCUCAGCCUCACAGAGUGCUGAGAUGACAGCUGCGCACCGCCCGCCCGGCUCUUCCCGUUCUCCCAUCCAGCACAAGCAGGGCCUCCGCCGUCACAGGGCUGCGCUGGUGUAUUUCACAGCCAGGUUCUGCUGCCCUGUGACUCUGGGUCUCACGUCACUCGGCUGUGCUCUCCGCAGCCGCGCAGUCCUGAGCCCUGUCCGUCUGCCUCAGCUGCCACCCGCCCCGCUGGACACGCGUCCACUCCAGCUCCUCCCUGUACUCACCCACCGCCUUGCGAACCUGGGCGGAGCCCCUCCUCCGGGCUUCUGACCGAACGAUCGUUCCCUACAGACCGUUUGCCAGGGAGGUGCCGCAUCCCCCUGCCAGCCUUUCUCUGCUGUAUUUUCAAAGGUUACUUAAAUCGCAUCACUAAAACAUUGACUCUUAAGCCAGGAGAGGUGGUAUAUACACGUCAUCCCAGCACUUGGGAGGCUGAGGCAGGAGGAUCACCAUGAGUUUGAGGCCAGCUUGGAUGACAGAGUGAGUUCCUGUCUCUAAAUGAAUAAAUAAAUAAAUAAAUAAUGGCUUUUUCCUUUUGUCGUUAAAUAGGCCCAUCACAGAAGCAUAUUCCUCAACGCAAACUGAAUCGGUUAAUUAAAGGUAGAUGUAGCGGCCUUGUUUGUGUUACUUAUCCUGUUUGCAUUCAACUGCCUUUGACCUGGGAAAAUGGCCACUUCCGUGGCUCCUCCGCCUGGCUCUACUGCACGGGGAAACUCACCGGCUCGCUUCAGGGCCUUCAGAGGUGAGUGCUCUGCGUUUUCCAGAGAAGAAAACAGGCCUUGAGUCUUGAGGACUGCACUCACGUCACACAGCAGCGAGGGCGAGGUCACCCUGCCCGUGGCAUCCGCACGGCGCCCCGUCCUGGCAUCACCCUGCCCUGGGAGUGUGCGGUGAGCAGAGCUUGCCCGGGGCACGCCGCAGCCCCCGCAGGGCCGUAGAGCCGUUGAAGGGCCAAGCUGGCACCAGGCCACUCACACGGGGCGCUGAAUGGCGCUCUCACGAGGACGGCCUUGCGCGGUUGUCUCAGCUCAUGAAGCGGGGAGCCCCAGCCGGCCGGCUUCCGGCUCGAAGCAGGGUUACAGCGCUGGUCUCACCUCCCCAGCAAGCCGGGAUGCCUGGGGCCCCUCCUCAGCCAGGCCCUGGGGGCAGGGGAGGGACAGGCACCCCAUGCCCCUCCCUGGAGAGAUGGGGUGGCGCCCCGCCUGAGUCACCUCUCAGGAGAGGGGCGUUGAGCCUGUCCCCCGAAGGGACUGCAGCUGGGAUGCCGCCCAGGACAAAGCACGCGCUUAGCAGACUCAAAGGCUUGGGUUCAAUGUCCCCCCAGCAGUGAAAGUUAAAAAAAAGUUAGAUUUUUAAUUAAAAUUAAAU
ensembl:lincRNA